rnacentral:lncRNA from 1 species
AGUGUGUAAGACGCUCACGGGCGCGCGGACUAUCGGGCGGCUAGGCUCUCUGAGGAGGCUGCCACAGUGAAGCAACCGUGACAAGUGGUGCCCGACCAGGGACCUGAACGAGGAAGGUCUGCCAGAGCAGAGAAAGUGAAACUGAUCAGACGAACUACGAACCCCUGGACGGGAGAGUCUGCCGGCGGAGAAUAUAAGACCCCAGCAGAACGACACUGGCAACUGCUAGAGGAAAAGAGGCAAGUUUAUCCAAAAGUGUUAUGGAAAUCCCCAGAAGAAGGACAAUGGAAAGGUCCGGUGGAUUUGCUGACGUGGGGACGAGGGUAUGCUUGUGUUUUUACAGGAGAUGGACAAACCGUGUGGGUGCCCUCCAGGUGUGUGUGACCAUGGAACGGGAGACCGGAGGGAUCCAUGGUAUUCAACCGUGGGCCUGUUACCUCCAGUACGAGCCAUGAGCCAGCGGAAUCUGAAUGCAAAGACAGAACAAGGGCCGACCGGAGUCACAAUGACAUCCAACCCCAUAACAUGGGGACAGAUCAAGAAAACGACACAAGAAGCUGAGAA